rnacentral:rRNA from 1 species
CCUACGGGAGGCAGCAGUGAGGAAUAUUGGUCAAUGGGCGGGAGCCUGAACCAGCCAAGUCGCGUGAGGGAAGAAGGUACUGAGUAUUGUAAACCUCUUUUGCCAGGGGACAAAGGCGGCGACGGGUGGCCGUAAGAGGGUACCUGGAGAAAAAGCAUCGGCUAACUCCGUGCCAGCAGCCGCGGUAAUACGGAGGAUGCGAGCGUUAUCCGGAUUUAUUGGGUUUAAGGGGUGCGCAGGCGGCGUUUCAAGUCAGCGGUAAAAUGUCGGGGCUCAACCCCGGACUGCCGUUGAAACUGGCGGGCUCGAGUUGGAGAGAGGUAUGCGGAAUGCGUGGUGUAGCGGUGAAAUGCAUAGAUAUCACGAAGAACCCCGAUUGCGAAGGCAGCAUGCCGGCUCCACACUGACGCUGAGGCACGAAAGCGUGGGUAUCGAACAGGAUUAGAUACCCGUGUAGUC